rnacentral:rRNA from 1 species
GGAAUAUUGCGCAAUGGGCGCAAGCCUGAAGCAGCGACGCCGCGUGGGUGAUGAAGGUCUUCGGAUCGUAAAGCCCUUUUCUGCGUGACGAGAGAGGACGGUAGCGCAGGAAUAAGUCUCGGCUAACUACGUUCCAGCAGCCGCGGGAAAACGUAGGAGACAAGCGUUAUCCGGAGUUACUGGGCGUAAAGGGCGUGCAGGCGGUCUCUUAAGUCUGUUGUGAAAGUUCCCGGCUAAACCGGGAAAGGUCGACGGAUACUGGCAGACUAGAGGACAGUAGAGGCGUGUGGAAUUCCGGGUGUAGUGGUGAAAUGCGUAGAUAUCCGGAGGAACACCAGUGGCGAAGGCGACACGCUGGGCUGUACCUGACGCUAAGACGCGACAGCAUGGGUAGCGAAC